rnacentral:rRNA from 1 species
CCUACGGGUGGCAGCAGUGGGGAAUAUUGGGCAAUGGGCGCAAGCCUGACCCAGCAACGCCGCGUGAAGGAAGAAGGCUUUCGGGUUGUAAACUUCUUUUCUCAGGGACGAAGCAAGUGACGGUACCUGAGGAAUAAGCCACGGCUAACUACGUGCCAGCAGCAGUGGUAAUACGUAGGUGGCAAGCGUUAUCCGGAUUGACUGGGUGUAAAGGGCGUGUAGGCGGGACUGCAAGUCAGAUGUGAAAACCACGGGCUCAACCUGUGGCCUGCAUGUGAAACUGUAGUUCUUGAGUACUGGGGAGGCAGGCGGAAGUCGGAGUGUAGGGGUGAAAUGCGUAGAUAUUAGGAGGAACACCAGUGGCGAAGGCGGUCUGCUGGACAGCAACGGACGCUGAGGCGCGAAAGCGUGGGGAGCGAACAGGAUUAGAUACCCGGGUAGUC